rnacentral:sRNA from 1 species
AUUCUCCUUGAUAACAGCGACGAUGUUGUUUUAUGGUCUGCGAAAUGAUCGCCAGCACCAGGGAGGAUAACGUUGCGUAAGCAACGGCCCGUAGGGCGAGGCGCAGCCGAGUAAUCCUCCCGGAUGCACCA